UUUUGGCCAUUACAAACAGUGCUGUUGUGAAUGUUGUGCCUGCCUGUCUUCCAGCUGGACAUAGGGGUCAUUUUGACUGGCGCGGCAGAAUGAGGAGGGACAAGGUGUUCCAGUUAAAGUCACAAUUUCCAAGAACCUAUAGGGGACAUGAAGUGAGGACCUGCUGUAAUUGGACAAGUGGGCAAGGAUGUAUGUACAGGGGAGUUCAUUGCAGCAUGAUUUGUAUUAGCAAAAAUGUCUAUUAAUAUGAGUCAACGAACAUUUAUACAUUGAAGUACUGUGUACCUCUUAAAAACAGUGAUAUUGAUCUGUUGUAGUCCCAUGGAAAUAUAUCCAAUGUAUAUGUAAAAAUAAUCAGAUUACCAA
rnacentral:lncRNA from 1 species